UACGUAGGUGGCAAGCGUUGUCCGGAAUUAUUGGGCGUAAAGCGCGCGCAGGUGGUUUCUUAAGUCUGAUGUGAAAGCCCACGGCUCAACCGUGGAGGGUCAUUGGAAACUGGGGAACUUGAGUGCAGGAGAGAAGAGUGGAAUUCCACGUGUAGCGGUGAAAUGCGUAGAGAUGUGGAGGAACACCAGUGGCGAAGGCGGCUAUCUGGACGGUUUCUGACGCUAAGACGCGAAAGCGUGGGGAGCAAACAGG
rnacentral:rRNA from 1 species